ACAGAAAAUAACUUCAUUCUGCAAUUGAAAGAAUCACAGCAAGCUCUCAUUGUAUCAAGGCAAACUGGCGGUCAUACUCUUCUCUAAAUGAGCCAACACUCCCUAGGAGACCUCAGUAGAACUCCCUCUUCUCUGCUGGAAAGGUUUUGCCUCCCCAGGACCCAUCCCUCACCAUCCAUGCAUGACAUUCUGGCCUCAAGUAUCCACUCCUCAAAGGAAAAGAAAUUGGAGAGAUUCGCCUUGAAAAUAAGCCUUCAUAUUAGUGACUUCCUUCUUUUAAAGGACAUCGAACAAGUUUUAUCCUCUUAUCGAUGAGUGGAACCUCUUUCUCCAUAACUUGAAUCUGCACUGGCCAUCUGGCUUGCUUUGGCCUAAAGAAUGUGGGCCAUUUCUGAGUCCAGGCUUCAAGAGGACUUUGCAUUUCCUUUUUCUCUCUUGACACACUGUUGAAGUAUAAUGUAAAUGAGCCAGGGCACUCUUAGAAGGUGAGAUACGUAGUUCAAUGGUUCUCAUUGCUCUAGGUGAUAUCCAGCUAACCCCCAGAAGCAGAGCAACUUGAACAAGUUGCGGCUGACCACUGAUCCUCAUGGAGUCAGCUUCAAUUAGAAGAAUUGCUCAACUGAGUGUGGUCUAAAUGAUCUAUUUCUAAAUUAUGAACACAAUAAAUGCUUAUUGUUUUAAGCCACUGAGAAUUAAGGUGACUUGUUAUGCAGUAACAGAUAAUUGAUAGACUGUUCAUGAGUUCUGUGUCUCUGAAGAGUU
rnacentral:lncRNA from 1 species